rnacentral:rRNA from 1 species
GACGAACGCUGGCGGCGUGCUUAACACAUGCAAGUCGAACGGAAAGGCCCUGCUUUUGUGGGGUGCUCGAGUGGCGAACGGGUGUGUAACACGUGAGUAACCUGCCCUUGACUUUGGGAUAACUUCAGGAAACUGGGGCUAAUACCGGAUAGGAGCUCCUGCUGCAGGGUGGGGGUUGGAAAGUUUCGGCGGUUGGGGAUGGACUCGCGGCUUAUCAGCUUGUUGGUGGGGUAGUGGCUUACCAAGGCUUUGACGGGUAGCCGGCCUGAGAGGGUGACCGGCCAAAUUGGGACUGAGAUACGGCCCAGCCUCCUACGGGAGGCAGCAGUGGGGAAUAUUGCACAAUGGGCGGAAGCCUGAUGCAGCAACGCCGCGUGCGGGAUGACGGCCUUCGGGUUGUAAACCGCUUUCGCAUGUGACGAAGCGUGAGUGACGGUAAUGGGUAAAGAAGCACCGGCUAACUACGUG